rnacentral:rRNA from 1 species
CUUGGUCAUUUAGAGGAAGUAAAAGUCGUAACAAGGUUUCCGUAGGUGAACCUGCGGAAGGAUCAUUAAAGAGUAAGGGUCUUCAAGGCCCGACCUCCAACCCUCUGUUGUUAUAACUACCUGUUGCUUUGGCGGGACCGUUUGGUCCUCCGAGCGCACCGGUCUUCGGAUUGGUGAGUGCCCGCCAGAGUCCAACCAAACUCUUGUAUUAAACCAGUCGUCUGAGUAUAAAAUUUUAAUUAAAUUAAAACUUUCAACAACGGAUCUCUUGGUUCUCGCAUCGAUGAAGAACGCAGCGAAAUGCGAUAAGUAAUGUGAAUUGCAGAAUUCAGUGAAUCAUCGAAUCUUUGAACGCACAUUGCGCCCCUUGGUAUUCCGAGGGGCAUGCCUGUUCGAGCGUCAUUACACCACUCAAGCAAUGCUUGGUAUUGGGCAUCGUCCGUCGAAAGGCGGGCGUGCCUCGAAGACCUCGGCGGGGUUUCACCAACUUCGGGCGUAGUAGAGUUAAAUCGAACGUCUUAUAAGUCUGGGGGAGCCUCAUUGCCGUUAAACCUUUUAUUUUCUAGGUUGACCUCGGAUCAGGUAGGGAUACCCGCUGAACUUAAGCAUAUCAAUAAGCGGAGGA